rnacentral:tRNA from 1 species
GGGUGGUUAGCUCAAUUGGUAGAGCACUGGCGUCACAUGCCAGGGGUUAGAGGUUCAAGUCCUCUACCACCCA